AGGGCGGCGCUCCUCUUUGACGCGAGUGGAGCUCCCGUACGUACGGAAGAGGCGAAAAAGUAAUACAAGCAAACAAAAGACGUUCAGGUCCGCACAUCACUCGCAGUCAGGGAGACGCGAAAACAAAACGCUGCACGCGCACGCAACGCUCAAGACGGAGGAGCGGAGAUGAGCAUUGAGGUGCACGUGCGCGUUCGCCCGUCCGUGGCGAACGUUGUAUGGUCCAGUGCCGAAACAGUGCUUUACAGCACGGCCAACCCCAACACCCGGUACGUUUACAACAAGGUGUACCCGAGCAACAGCACGAAUGAGUCUAUCUUCCAUGGCAUGGAGGCGGUUGUGCAUGCGGCGUUCGAUGGCAAGAACGUCACCAUUAUGGCGUACGGUCAGACUGGCAGUGGCAAGACGCAUAGCAUGAUCGGCGUAGAUCACGAUCCUGGCAUGGUGCCGCGGGCAGCGAAAUUGCUGUUAGAGUUGAAGCGAACCACUCCUGGUGCGAAGAUACAGGCAUUCUACACGGAGAUCUACAACGAGUCCGUCAAGGAUCUUCUAGAGCCCCAGAGAGGCGAGCUUGCGCUGCACGACGCCCCUGACGGUGGCGUCUUCUUUGAGAAGAAGAUGAUCGACGUGGAAACUUUUGACGACUUUAUACAGCUGCAGGCGGCAGCGGAGCGGAACCGCAAGUACGGCGUCACCAAUCUGAACGAGCACAGUAGCCGCUCGCACGUCAUCCUCACCUUCGAAAUACAUCGGCGCAAUCGGGUUGGCAAGAGCGUCAUCAACUUGGUCGACCUAGCUGGCUCCGAGUCGGCGUCACGCGCGAACACGGAGGGCAUUUCUCUUCGCGAGGGCGGCUACAUCAACCGCAGCCUUCUAACUCUGGGCAACGUGGUGGACGCCAUCGUCGAGAGGCGACCCUAUGUUCCAUACAGAGACGCCAAGCUGACGCGCCUCCUUCGCACGUGCCUGGGCGGCUCCGGUAUCACGCUCAUACUCUGCUGCGUGAACCCCUCCCGCGAGAACUUCGAUCAAACCGUCGCGACGCUCCGCUUCACGCAGCGCGCGAUGAAGAUCAAGAACGACCCUGUCGUCGUCCUUAAUAUGCCGCCACUUUUCACGCAUCAGUAUAGUGACGGUGCACGGCAGCUCAUUGAGGGCCUGCAGGAGUCGGCGGAGGCGGAGUACCAGCGUGGGCUGCGCGACAGCUUUCUCUACUGCGGCACCACGGUUGCCUCGGUCGUCAGCAACUACCAGACGCAGGUGUCCGACUGCUUGCACUCGCUGGCGACCGCGCAACGCCUGCUCGUGGCGCAUGACCACGCCAUGGCCAUCGACCAUAUUGGGCGACUGUAUAACCAGCAGAACGACUUGGUGCGGCAGCGGAUCAGCAACCAGGAGCUGGCCGAGAACGAGAGGAAGCGGCAGCGCGACGUGGCGUCCGAGAUCGAGUCCCGAAAGGACAAGAUAGCGAAACUGGAGGAGGAGCUCAGGACCAAGGUCUCAUCACUCGACACGAAUUUGGCGGGGUGGGAGUAUCAGCUCUACGAGGCGCGGCAGAAGCAGCGGAGUGAGAUGGACGUGCUGCUUCAGCUAGAGCUGGCGCGUCGUGCACGCAUCCAGUACGAGUGGGUUGUGUGCUUGGAGCGCAUUGCGUCGCGCAGUGUUCCCGUCAUUCAAGCUGGGCUCUCGGCGCUGCAGGCAAAGCUAGUCGAAAGCGCCAGCGGCGGCAGCGGCGCUGCAGAGCAUCAGCAAUACCGCCAUCACCUACAUACCAUCCUGUCGUUGCAGGAUGGCGAUGCUGGGAGCCGCACGCUGCAUGUGAAGGAACUGCGGGCAGCCCUGAUGAAGGCUCGCGAUGAAUUGGAUGACCUGAAGACGGCACACGAAAUGGUGAAGGACGACAUCGAGGAGGCGAGGAGGCAGCAGCAGCAGCAAGACAGCAAACGCGGCUCCGCUUCCGUAUCACCGCAACCGCGCCCGAACGUGUCUGACCUCUCAGAGGAGGAUCUUGUCGAGUACUACCGCGGCGUUACUGACAGCGAGGUUGAGGAACGCAUUCACCGUCUGGAGCGUGAGGAAAAGGCGCUGAUGGCGCAGGCACGGCGUGGCGUUCGCCGCGAGAGUCUGCGGCGCGUGCGCGAGAGCCUUCGCGUAUCGCGUGGCAGUCGUGGAGGCAGUAGCCGCUCUCCGCAGAGUGGCGGCGGCGGCGUCACUAUCACUCGUCUGGCCGAAACCGCCGGCGCAGGACCCGGCUCGAACGCGUCACAUCAUUUCGGACGCAGUGUAGCUGAUGAGGAGGCGCGCGCCGGUUUUCUCCAGACGGAGGCGACUGCGCAGGUGGAGGCGCGGGGCAGGCGAAGCUCGGCCAGCUACGCGGACGGCGUGAAGAACGCGCUUUCCAUCUUAGACAGCCUCAAAGCACAGCUCCAGCGUAGGGGCGGCAACAACCAUGCUGCGCCCACGGUAGCAUCUACAAGCCGCCAUCAGCAGUCGCAGUCGCAGCGGCAGCAGGGGCCUGCCCGCCUGCGUAACUAUCGUAGCGUAAGCAGCAGUAGCGAGACGCGUCGACGGCAGGGCCGCAAAGGGGUUGAGGAGACGGCGGUGUACUACGACCCCCAAGAGGGAAAUGUAGGAGAGGAGCAUCAGUGCGCCGCUCCCCGCUCUGCCGCAGAGGCUGCUGCACACCGGCGCCACCACGCCACUGUGUCCGACAGCGCCGACGACACGGAAAACAUGUCACUGGCAGAACUGUAUCAGGCAUCGAUGGGGAAGGAGAAUUGGAGUCGGCCCAAGCCCUCUGCUGCUGCCGCCGUGUCUUCUCGCGCGGCGCACAAGUACGCCGCGGUCGCGGAGGACGAUGCGGCAUUCGACGCGGAUGAGGAGGCAGAUGAGGGAAAGGAGGACGGGCGGCCGGUAUCGCAUCAGCUCACCUCGUCCCCACCGAUCGAGAUUGCGGCACGACGCAAAAUGAAGCGGCAGAACUCCCGCCCGGCGGUGGAGCGGGCCCUUUACGCGUUGAACUCAAACUCUCACUCAACGUCCCCCUCGUGAGAGCGUCGUCGCUGUUGGCGACAUGGGUGACGCUCGUGUAGCCCGCGCUUGGGGUGGCACCUGCCGAGAGGAAGCUGCGCUUUUUCUUGCCUCUCUUACGGUUCGUUGCCAUGCGUGUCUUGAGGGGAGUUGUGUGAGCUACUCUUGCAUUACAGGCAUGCAGACUUGCGCGUAGACACUCUCUCUACCGAUGCCAUUCACACCAUCUCCCUUGACGUGUGCCUUCGUUUAAGGUCUUGCCCUUUUAGUGGACCCGCUGCGCUGGGGAACACGAGGCCGCUGCAGUGGUGGUGGUCGGCCACAUGUGGCGAAUCGCUGCGAGGCGCACCCAGCAGGGGUGGGGAGAGCGAAACAAACGGCGAGCAAAACGGUAUGAUCAUGGAUGCAGCUUUCCAUGGGCGUGCGCGCUCUUCUGGGUUUCGUUUCUCAUCCGCCGUCACUGGCAUCUCCUCGCCCUCUUCGUCUUUUUCUCUACAAAUUCAUCCCCAUCUCUUUUUUGGUGUGUUGCUGUUCGCUCUCGCCCUGUGCGCCCGUGUGCCGCUGUGCGUUCAUAGAUGCUCAUCUUCUUUGUCGUUUGUUUUCGUUUGUUUCGUCGCCCUGACCAGGGCAUACGCGGCGCACCGAGGGACGGAUGUGGAGGAUGCCGAAGUCUCACUUCUCUUCUCCUGCCCCCCCCCCCCCCCCCCCCCCCCCACGGAGAACAGAAGAAACAAACAAAGCGCUGGCCUUGUCGGGGUGGGGACCGGCGAGUGCAUGGUGGCGCUUCUUCCAUUUUGUGGGGUCGCGCAUCCGUCCACCUCCUUCUCUUCUUCCCAGGCUUCUUCUUUUUCGCACACGUCAUCCACGGGCGCUUGAGAGCUUUUCUCCCCCCGGCAUCUCAUUGCAAACGAGUGCUGCUGCUCUCUUGUACGGGGAGGGGGGGGCUCUCAGCUGCACCUGUCGGGCAGCUUUCGGCCGCGACGUACGGGUGUGUAUGCGCGUGUGGGGCGGAAUAGCUCUCUUUUACUCCCUCUUAUGUUGGGGAGGAUGUCGACUGGUUUUGCUAUCCUGUCUGUGAGCUCCAGUCGGCCCCACCCCGACCCGCGGCCCUCAUCGUGCCCGCCACGGCGUGAGACAGGAGGGGUAGGGAAGGGCGGACCCUGCCCUUUUGCAGAAGGCAUGGAGAAGAAAAGCAGCAAUACCGUGAGAGCGGCGUACGGAGCUGAGCCUCCCCCUGGCCCUUCCUGGCGAUGUCUAGCGCCUUCUCGACACCGCCCACGUUAGACUAGAAAAUGCGGAUGGAGCCCAUCAACGGGAUAGCUUGCCUUCCUCUCUUUCCCUUUCUCCCUGAUCUCACACUAGCGAGGGCAGGAGGUAGUCACAUCAUUGUGUACACUGUCUCCUUUUCGAAUUGUUUUCUCCUUUCUUCUCGUGGUCGUCGUCUGUGUGUCAAUCUGAGUGCGCGCUCUACCUUCUUGUUACCUCACCCGUCUCCCUCUCUCUCCGUGAGCGUGUGCCCGAUGUCUCGAUCUCUGUUUUCUCUCGCGCGCUUCCUGUGAUGUUGUUGCGGGCCGCUGUAUUCGUUGUGGCCGCAUCUGCGCCGUCCCUCUCCUUCCCUCUCUUCCCUAUUUUUUGUUCUUAACUGGUCUCCUCUGCUCCCCAGAAGCGGGGAAAAGGAACGCGAAAAGAAGGAAAAGGCGAGAAGGUCUGUGUGUCUUGUUGUGCAUCGUUGCUCGGUCACGUGUGCGUUCACUUGUUUCUCCUAGAUACUCUCGCCCCACCAGGUACAAUGGAACGGGAUGCAGAAAUGAAGAAAAAAAAACGAAAAGCAAUUCAUGCGAGCGUCAUCGGCAAUACGUCUGGUGGCCACGAAUAUCUUAGCAUGAAAGUGUCGAGUUGCGGCACAAUACGCUUCCUCUCCCUCCCGCCUGCGACCUGGCUGCUUACGCCUCCGACGCUGCGCGCGUCUUCGAGCGCGCUGCGCAGCGCAUGCAUCGUGCAUGCAGCGGCCGAAAAAAAAAAGCUUCCUCAUGGAGGCUCACCGCCCUCCAUGCGCGUCCCUCACUCUUUUUUUUUUCUUCGCGCGCUUCCAAGCUCUGGGCAUGUGGCCCUUCAGAAGAACUCUUCUGCGGGUGAUACCAAGGGCUCACAACCUCUAGCGUCAUGAUGCCUUUCUCAACCUUCUCCCUCUUUUUUUUCGUACACGUAUACGCUUUCGUCGUUUUCUUCGUAUAACCCGUCCCCCUUUUUUUGCUGUUCACUGUGGCUUCACACACACACACACGCUCGCGGCGUAUGCGCCGCUCUCUCUCUUUCUCUGUGCAUGAACGUACGUAUGUGUGGGGUGUGUGCUGGCACGGCUGCGCGUUCGGACAUUAG
rnacentral:misc_RNA from 1 species